rnacentral:rRNA from 1 species
GGAAGUAAAAGUCGUAACAAGGUUUCCCCAGAUCCUUCUGAAGCCUUCAACGCAACGACUAUAACCAUGUGUUGAGUCCACCCCCCGCGCGGUGGGCGACGUCACCUCUGUGCUGGGAUCCCCUCUGGUGAGAUCAGCAGCCGAACAUGUCCACGUUCGGUCCACAGAUUAGAUGGUGGCGGUCAGCGGUUGGUGCCUGCGGGCACGCCCUGAUCCAGGUAUAAUCGGUCUCCAUGGCCUCCAUGGAUGAGCAACGUUCCGUAGGUGAACCUGCGGAAGGAUCAUUA